UACGAGAGGCCCAAACGUUAUUCGGAAUUACUGGGCUUAAAGAGUUCGUAGGCGGCGCAGAAAGUAGGGUGUGAAAGCCCUCGGCUUAACCGAGGAAUUGCGCUCUAAACUACUGUGCUUGAGGAAUCUAGAGGUGAGCGGAACUGAUGGUGGAGCGGUGAAAUGCGUAGAUAUUGGGAGGAACACCAGUGGCGAAGGCGGCUCGCUGGACCGGUUCUGACGCUGAGGCGCGAAAGCGUGGGGAGCAACGGG
rnacentral:rRNA from 1 species